rnacentral:rRNA from 1 species
GUCCACGCCCUAAACGAUGUCAACUGGUUGUUGGGAAUUAACUUUCUCAGUAACGAAGCUAACGCGUGAAGUUGACCGCCUGGGGAGUACGGCCGCAAGGUUGAAACUCAAAAGGAAUUGACGGGGACCCGCACAAGCGGUGGAUGAUGUUCUUUAAUUCGAUGCAACGCGAAAACCUUACCCACCUUUGACAUGUACAGAAGUUUCUAGAGAUAGAUUCGUGCUCGCAAGAGAGCUGUAACACAGGUGCUGCAUGGCUGUCGU